rnacentral:tRNA from 1 species
GCCCCUGUGGUGGAAUUGGUAUACACGGCAGACUAAGGAUCUGUGCCCGAAAGGGCGUGGAGGUUCGAGUCCUCUCAGGGGCACCA